rnacentral:miRNA from 1 species
GGCUGCCUUGGGGGUCUCUCCCACCAAGCCCCCACCCCCUUGAGGAGAUUAGUAUAUAGCAUGUAUAGUAUCUAGAUCUCCUUAAGGGGGUGGGGGCUUGGUGGGAGAGACCCCCAAGGCAGCCUCAGAGAAGCUC